AGUGAACGCUGGCGGUAGGCCUAACACAUGCCAGUCGAACGGCAGCACAGUAAGAGCUUGCUCUUACGGGUGGCGAGUGGCGGACGGGUGAGGAAUACAUCGGAAUCUACUUUUUCGUGGGGGAUAACGUAGGGAAACUUACGCUAAUACCGCAUACGACCUACGGGUGAAAGCAGGGGAUCUUCGGACCUUGCGCGAUUGAAUGGGCCGAUGUCGGAUUAGCUAGUUGGCGGGGUAAAGGCCCACCAAGGCGACGAUCCGUAGCUGGUCUGAGAGGAUGAUCAGCCACACUGGAACUGAGACACGGUCCAGACUCCUACGGGAGGCAGCAGUGGGGAAUAUUGGACAAUGAGCGAAAGCCUGAUCCAGCCAUACCGCGUGGGUGAAGAAGGCCUUCGGGUGGUAAAGCCCUUUUGUUGGGAAAGAAAAGCAGCAGGUUAAUACCCCGCUGUUCUGACGGUACCCAAAGAAUAAGCACCGGCUAACUUCGUG
rnacentral:rRNA from 1 species